CAAAGUUCAGCGGGUAUCCCUACCUGAUCCGAGGUCAACCAUAGAAAAAUUUGGGUUUUGGCAGAAGCACACCGAGAACCUGUAACGAGAGAUAUUACUACGUUCAGGACCCAGCGGCGCCGCCACUGAUUUUAGAGCCUGCCAUUACUGACAUAGACUCAAUACCAAGCUAAGCUUGAGGGUUGAAAUGACGCUCGAAC
rnacentral:misc_RNA from 1 species